GUCGGUGUAGCAAAGUGGUUUGAGCACUGGACUACAACUCUGGAGACCAGGGUUGGAAACUCUGCUCAGCCA